rnacentral:sRNA from 1 species
AUGGACAAAAUUUCUUCUAGAUUAGACUCUAUAGCAGCAAUAAGUUCAAAUUCCAACAAACAACAGUCUGAUUAUGUGCCUUAUAAUCAAAGAAAUAAUCAUGCUAAUAAUUAUCAAAAUUCACAAUCUUUUCAGGUGCCUACUUACAAUGACCGCCAGCCAAUGAUGCCAGUUCAAAGACAAAGACCAGUAAUGAGUAACGGUCCACCUGGAUCCUGUAUUGGGUGUGGUAAGUCAUGUAAAUCAAGGUCAAUCUGCCCCGCUUACAAAAAGUCAUGUCAUAAGUGUGGCAAACAAGGUCAUUUCAGCUAUGUUUGUUUAAGUAAGGGAAACCAACAUGUGUCACAAGGAAAUAGGGCAUAGGGAUUCGAGCCUUCCUUUAGGCAGCAGUCUAGGGGUAGGCACAAGGAUGAUAAAAAUCAUUGUCAUGAAAAUGACAAAACUGGUACAAACAAUGAGGUUUGCACAAUUAUUUCUUUAGACUCAGACAAAUGCACAACUUACGUCACCAUAGGUACAACCAGAACCAAAGCUUUGAUAGAUACAGGUGCAAAUAUUUCUGUCAUAAAUAGAAAUCUUUUAGAUAAGACCUCUUAUGCUAAAGUUCCAUUGCAACCUGGUGCAAUGAAGCAAGUUAUUGCAGCCAAUGGCAAUCAUGUACAAGUUCUAGGCAAGCUUUCAAUUACCCUUCAUGUAGGCAAUAAAGCAGUUUACUCAAACUGUUCAUGUUCUUGAUCAACUUCAUCAUUCUCUCAUUCUUGGUGUUGAUUUCAUGAAGAAAAAUGGAGCUUUCAUCAAUUUUCAAGAUUGUACUUUAGAGUUGAAAGAUAACCCAAAUAUUGUUCUUAGUUCUAUCACUCUAAAUUCAGGCUUAGUUCGGACUAAAAAGGUGGUUACUAUUCCUAAACAUUCUGAAACCUUGAUUCAAGUAUCUGUCUCAAAGCAAGACGAAGAUAGCACAGUGCUUUUAGAACCUUUAGAUGCUCCUCCUCAAUUUCUUCAGAAUGUAGUUGUGGCAAAAUGUCUAGUCAAAAUUCAUAAUGGCAAAGCUCAUUUAAGACUUUUAAAUCCCACUGCUACAGACAUUAAGCUAAGACCACACAAAGUAAUUGCCAAGGUUUCUCAUGUCAACACUGAAGAAAUUCACUCUAUAGAUGAUAAGCAAUCAGCUGACACUCCUUUCUUUUUCUCCUACUACUAAAUCAAAGUCUGACGACAUGACUUUUGAUCUUUCUAGUGCUUGUUUGACUUCAAUUGAAAAACAAAAGCUUCUAGCUUUCCUUCAGAAAAACAGGUCUAUCUUUGCAAAUUCUCUCAAAGAGCUAGGAUGCACCCAUUUAUAUAACCACCACAUAGAAACAGUUCCUGGUGCAAAACCUUUUAGAUCACCUCCAUAUAGGCAAACUCCAAAAGUUCGAGCAGAACAAGAUAGGCAGGUCAAAGAACUUCUUGACAAUGACAUUAUUGAACCCUCAUGUUCUAAUUGGGCUUCACCCGUUGUCAUGUGCUUCAAGAAAUCAGGCGAGAUGAGGAUGGCGAUUGACUAUAGGAAGGUCAAUGCGCUUAGUAUUCCUCAGACCUUCCCGUUACCCCAUAUGGAGAGUGUAUUUGAUGCGAUUGGAGAGGUCAAGGCCCAGUAUUUCUCAUGUGUCGAUUUAAAAUCUGGUUUUCAUCAGGUCCCUCUAACUGAAGAGAGCAAACACAAAAGUGCCUUUAUCACACAGACAGGAAUCUAUCAGUUUAAGAGGAUGCCAUUUGGUUUAAUGAACAGUCCUAUCACCUUUCAGGCUAUGAUGUCUCAUGUUCUUAGGGGCCUCAACUGGAAAUUUGUAUUGGUAUAUGUCGAUGACAUUCUCAUUUUCUCUCAAACUUUUGAAGACCAUUUAAACCAUCUGUCCCAAGUCUUUGAUCGGUUGAGGCAUGCCAAUUUGAAACUUCACCCUAGUAAGUGCCACUUUGCAGUGAAGGAAAUUAUGUUUUUGGGUCAUAUCAUUUCUAGAGAAGGCGUCAAAGUAGAUCCAGCUAAAACCAGUGCUGUCAGCAAGUUUCCAACCCCACAAACACAAAAACAGUUACGAAGCUUUCUAGGCAUGGCAAACUACUAUCGUCGUUUCAUUAAGGACCAUUCUAAGAUUGUCUUUCCUUUAAACUCUUUACUUCACAAAGACCAACCUGUAAAACUGAAGCCUUUGACACUAUCAAGCAUGCCCUUGUCAAUGCUCCAGUUCUUAGUUAUCCAGAUCUAGACAAACCUUUUAUUCUUACAUGUGAUGCAUCUGAUACUGCUAUUGCUUUUGUACUAGGACAACUGAAUUCUGAUAACAAGGAAUAUGCUAUUGCCUAUGGUAAUAAGUCUUUAACAAAGGAAGAGCGUAAUUAUACCACAUCUGAAAAAGAGUGCUUAGCUAUUCUCAAAGGUGUUGAAACUUUCCGUCCUUAUCUGGCCAACAGUGCUUUCACAGUCAUUACUGAUCAUAAUGCUCUAGUAUGGUUAAAGUCAGCUAAGCACACAGGUAGACUUUCUAGAUGGGCUCUUAAACUUCAGGAUCUUAAUUUUGACAUUAUUCAUCGUCCAGGGAAAAGUAAUGUUGUAGCUGAUUGUCUCAGUCGUGUACCCAAUCCUUUUCGGGCCACACAAAUUGACACUGGUUCUAUACCAAUUCAAGAGCAGGGUAUAUCUUCUUUCGACUCUAUUGAAUCCCAUGUUUCUUUAGAAAAUCUGAGUUCUGAAUCUGAUGAUGAAGUACAGUUUGGAGCUGAAGUGCAUUUCUAUUAUGCUUCAGAACAUGCAACAGAUUGUCAAGAAUGUCCUAUCAUAUCUGCAGUUGAUACUGAAAACAUUCAAAACAUAGUUGAGGAUAAACCUGCACUCUCUGAACUACAAAAACAAUGUCCUGAAUUCUCAGCCAUCUACACUUAUCUUGAAUCUGGUGACCUUCCUGAAGAAUCAAAACACAGAGAUAAUGUUGUUUCAGAGAGCAAAUAUUUUUCUUUGUCAGAUAGUGUUCUUUUUCAUUGGUAUCAGAAACGUUGCAGAGGCAUGGACCCUGAGUUUAGAAGAAUCAAGCAAAUAGCCCUUCCUAAAUCUCUUCGACUUGAAGCACUCCAAUCAUAUCAUGAUUCAUUAGCAGCAGGAGGACAUUUUGGUAUUGACAAGGUCAACAAUUCCCUCAUACAAAAAUAUUGGUGGAAAAGUAUGCAUCAAGAUAUCACAGACUAUGUUAAGUCCUGUGAUAGGUGUCAGAGAGCCAAGCAAAACUGCAACCCAAACAGACCCCCUCUUACCAAGAUGCCCCAAGUUGGUCGUUUCGACAGAUGGCAUAUAGAUGUUCUUGGCCCCCUUACUAAAAACUCUCAAGGUUACGAGUACAUCUUAUUGGUCAUUGAUGCUUUCACUAGAUGGUGUGAAGCAUUUCCCAUGAAAACCCAAACUGCAAAGGAGAUAGCGGAUAAUCUAUACACAGGAGUUGUAUCUAGAUUUGGUUGCCCAAGAGUUUUGCUAAGUGACAGAGGUCAGCCCUUCAUGUCAAAGAUUGUCAAAGGCCAUGUGUGA